GCAUGGGCUUGGAUUUAGGGUAGGUCUGAUCCCUUGGGCCUCUCACAGUGUCCCAUGCCAAAGCAAACUGUAACCCCAAACCAUUGCCUGACUUUACCCCGUGGGCUUUAGGCACUGAAGUGGGUUGCACAGUG
ensembl:snoRNA